rnacentral:lncRNA from 1 species
UCACAGCGCGCUCUCUGGCGCGCGCUCCCUGGCUCUCCCCUCCCUUUUCUCCUCCCUCCCCCGUGACACACGAACGCAUCUAACCCCGCGCUCCCCCUCCCCAGGCCAGCUCCCUUCCGAUUGCCCUCCCAGGACUGCGUGGGAAGGGGGGAGGGAAGGGGAGGGUGCGGCUCUGAAGAGACACCUGCGCUCCUCCGAACCAGUGAGGGUGGGGGUAGGGGCUAAGAAACUACUCAUGCAAGGCCUGGUGGUCACUUGGUUUCCAGUUUCUAGUAGAAGAGGGAGAGACCACCCACCACCAUCUCCUUUCUAAGUGCAGACAUCCUCUCCCUAGACAUUACCCACAUGGGGGCUUCCAGGGCCACACCCCCCAGAUCAGGCAUGCCUGCCCGGCAAACUCCGGUAGGUGAAGGAUCCUUCCAACACCAGGCACUGCUGAGUGCAAGCAGAGCAUGGGACUUUAAGACUGGUUCAGAGGCCGGCAGGUGCAGUUGUGCAGAAUGUUUUGGGUUGGAAAACUCUGUAGAAAGCAGACUUUGGACCUCACGAGUAGGCAAAUUGAGGCACAGACAUCAAGCAGCAGUAGCAGUUCCACGCCGCUGUCUCCUGAAACCAAGAGCUCUGGAUGUCGCACAACUUCGUGAUCAGGGAGCUGAACUGGGCCCCAAGGCGGGAGCAGCAGAACAACCCAGGGGCUUGGCAGGCGGAUGCUGCCACCCCGUGGCGACAGAGAGCAACGCUUGA